rnacentral:rRNA from 1 species
AUGGCCGAGCAAGCAAGCCAGCCGCCCACCGCCCGCUUGGACGCGCACCAACCGCCGCCACGCCUCCAUGCCCUGCUGGCCACAGCCCUCGCCGCCGGACGAGCCGCCAACGCCAGAUCCGGCAGGAUCAGACUGGGACCGCCCCGCACGAACCGCCCGAAGGACGAAGCUCCGCCUCCACCACACAGCCGCGGCGGCACCGACGAGCACCCACGCCACCAGCGUCGCAACCCGCAGCCCCGCCGCCGCGCCCCGCUGGAUCCGCAGCACCCCGCGCCGCCGGAGACAGACGGGGAGGAGAGAGCCCCCGCCGCCACCCAGGCCAACCAGGCUUCGCCCGGCGGCCCGCGCGGGUGGCGGAGAAGGGCGGAGUCGAGGGGGGCCGGGGAAGAAGAGGCCCGCCCGGCCACCGCGGGGUUGCGGCGUGGACGAGUGGGAGGGCGGACACGCGAGACCUAA